rnacentral:rRNA from 1 species
UGGGUGAAAGAAAACCAGCAAGUGGGUCCAAAGGAAUUGCAGAAGAAUAUCAAAGAUAAGUUCAAGAUAGAUUUACCAUACAUGAGGUUGUUCAAUGGUAAACAACAUGCUAUGGAUUCUAUUUAUGGUAACUGGCAGGAAAGUUUUCAAUUGUUGUAUUCAUUUAAAGGUGAAGUGGAGAGGACAAGCCCAGGUAGUAUUGUAGAUAUUGAUCACCACACCGUGGAGUACACAUUCAGGGGAGUGACAAAGACCAAGGAAUGCUUUAAGAGGGUUUUUGUCUGCUUUGAGGCUUGUUGCCGGGUUUUUUUGGCAAGCUGCAGGCCUUAUUUGGCUAUUGAUGCCACUUUUCUCACAGGGAGAUUUAAAGGACAGUUAGUAGCAGCUUGUGUAGUUGAUGCACAUAGUUUUGUAUUUUCAGUUUCCUAUGGUGUGCUGGAGACAGAGUCUGAGGAGAGUUGGAAUUGGUUUUUGCAUAAUCUCCGCCGGGUUAUUGCACAUCCCAAUGGGUUGGUCAUUCAUACAGAUGCCUGCAAAGGUUUAGAAGUGGCCGUGGACAAUGUGUUCCCUGGAGUAGAGCAUAGGGAAUGCAUGCGUCACCUUGCUGCAAAUUUCAUGAAGAAAUUCAAAGGAAAGGUGUAUACCGAUAAUUUAUGGCCAGCAUCUUUGACAUGCAGUGUGAAGAAGCACAACUACCACUUGAGGCAGUUAUACAUGAAUCCCAAAGUGAAAGAAUACUUGGAAACACACCACUCCAAGUUAUGGGCCAGAAGCCAAUUCAGUGAAGUGAGCAAAGUUGACUAUGUGCACAAUAAUCUAGCAGAGUCUUUCAACUCAACGAUCCGGAAA